rnacentral:rRNA from 1 species
GAUGAACGCUAGCGGCAGGCUUAACACAUGCAAGUCGAGGGGCAGCAUGAGACGGAGAUUCGUCAAAGUCUUGAUGGCGACCGGCGCAAGGGUGCGUAACGCGUGAGCAACUUGCCCGUUUCAGGGGGAUAACCGGUGGAAACGCCGACUAAUACCCCAUAGCAUUGGUUUGAGGCAUCUCUUACCAAUUAAAGAAUUUCGGAAACGGAUAGGCUCGCGUGACAUUAGCUAGAUGGCGGGGUAACGGCCCACCAUGGCGACGAUCGGUAGCCGACCUGAGAGGGUGAUCGGCCACAUUGGAACUGAGAUACGGUCCAGACUCCUACGGGAGGCAGCAGUGGGGAAUAUUGGGCAAUGGGCGAAAGCCUGACCCAGCAACGCCGCGUGAAGGAAGAAGGCUUUCGGGUGUAAACUUCUUUACCAGGGACGAAGAACGUGACGGUACCUGGAGAAAAAGCAACGGACUAACUACGUG